AUGAUGAUGCUACUGACUCUAUUGCUGACCAUCCUGGAGCUCCUGGUUCAGGGUUCAUCAGGAGACAAAAUCAUGACACAGACUCCAGAAUCUGUGUCUGUUGUUCAAGGACAGACUGCCACCAUUACAUGUAAAGCUAGUGAAAAUGUUGGCAAUGAGGUAAACUGGUACCUUCAGAAACCUGGGGAAGCCAUUAAACUUCUUAUUUAUGAAGUAUCAAACCGUCAGCCUGGAGUUUCUGAUCGUUUCAGUGGAAGUCGUUCUGGAAAUGUUUACACUCUGACCAUCAGCAGAGUUCAGGCUGAAGAUGAUGGAGUUUAUCAUUGUAAUCAGGAUAACAGCACACCGUUCACACAGUGA